rnacentral:rRNA from 1 species
GUGGGGAAUAUUGGGCAAUGGAGGCAACUCUGACCCAGCCAUGCCGCGUGCAGGAUGACGGCCCUCUGGGUUGUAAACUGCUUUUAUACGGGAAGAAAAAAUACUACGUGUAGUAUACUGACGGUACCGUAAGAAUAAGGAUCGGCUAACUCCGUGCCAGCAGCCGCGGUAAUACGGAGGAUCCAAGCGUUGUCCGGAUUUAUUGGGUUUAAAGGGUGCGUAGGCGGAUCUUUAAGUCAGUGGUGAAAGCCUGCAGCUUAACUGUAGAAUUGCCAUUGAAACUGAAGAUCUUGAAUGUGGUUAAAGUAGGCGGAAUGUAUCAUGUAGCGGUGAAAUGCUUAGAUAUGAUACAGAACACCGAUAGCGAAGGCAGCUUGCUGAACCAUUAUUGACGCUGAGGCACGAAAGCGUGGGGAGCGAACAGGAUUAGAAACCCGGGUAGUCC